UGACCACAUUUUUAUUUUUUCUUUCUCUCUCUUUCCUCUCUCCCUCUCCUCUCUCCCUCUCCUCUCUCUACCCACACACACCACCUCUCUCCCUCUCCUCUCUCUACCCACACCACCAGCCCAGACCUCAACCCACCGCCUCCGACCACCGCCAGUCCACCGUCGGCGGCACAGCUUCUUCCCCGUUGAUGAUUUGAAAAGAGAAAACAUUUACUGAUCGAUACAACAAUGCAUUCUCGAUGAAUCAGGAUUCCACCUUUAUACCCGUCGGCCCUCGAAAGCAUAGAUGCUGCUGAUGAUGGCACAGUUGAUCCUAAGGAGUAUGAAGCUAUGAAGCAUCAAGUUUCUCAGCUAACAAGAACACUUAAUUCCUCGGAGGCUAGGAUGUUGGGUAUGCAAGCCCAAAUUAAUAGUUUAUGAUGGAUAUGUAUAUUAUCUUUAAGGGUUUGAAUGUAGUUUUAGUUUGAAUUAGAAGUACUUUUAAGUUUAUAAUGUUUAAGUGUUUGAAUGAUGUUUAUGAUGUUUAAGUGUUUGAAUGUAGUUUAUGAUGUUUAAGUGUUUGAAUGUAGUUUUAAUUUUAAGUACUUUGAGGUUGAAUUUGAUUGUUUAUAAGUGUUUGAAUGGACAAUGUUUAAGUGUUCAAGUGUU